rnacentral:rRNA from 1 species
AUGCUUGAUCUCAAUGAGUUGCCUCCUGAUCUCAAUGAGCUUCCUCGUGAUAUGGAUCAGCAACAACCCAGCAUACCGCAAGGGAAUUUGACAGAAAAUGGGCGCUCUGUUUACUACACGCAGACAAGUCGUGGGCCUAACCCUAUGGGCCAUGACAAUGUGGCAGGGCAGUCAUCAACCCGUGGUGUCCCUGUAGUGGUGUCUUUGCAAUCAGAGAGUCGUACUCUUGAUGACACGGGCACCGCGGCAAAUGUUCUUGGUCCAACCAGGACUGAGCUCGGUGCUAGCGCUGUUGACGGUUCUGUGCAAGGAGAAGAAGGAGAAGAUGAGGCUGGUUCUCAGCCAAUGGAACCCUAUGUUGGCAUGAGGUUUGACACCCUUCAAAUUGCUAAGGAUCACUACAACAGCUACGCCUUACGGAUGGGUUUCUCUGUCAAAAUGAACACCUCUAGCGGAUAG